GAAGUGGCUGUAAAAUUUUAUCACAAAGCUUGCAAGAGGUUGUCGCAUAGUUUUUCCAAAGCUAGAAAAGUUGAACCAGAAGCUUAACUGGUUGCAUUAGAAUUUAUGGGAAGAUUUGCAAAGGUAAUGGCUUACUGCAAAGUUCUUAGAGAAGAGCGAAAAAGGGAAUAAAAGCUCGCGCAUCUCAGAAGGGAGGAUCGUUGUACACUGGAGGUGCAAUCGGCCUAGGGACAAAAAGAAAAUUGGUACAUAAUUGCUUAAUUUAUUUUAAAUUUCAAAGUAUAUCUAUUAUGUUUAUUAACUGAAAUU
rnacentral:lncRNA from 1 species